CCUGGAACCUCAGCCUGCUGGUGGGUUUUAGUCUGGGCACUCGAUGUGGGGGGCCUGAGAGGGGCACAGUCACUGCCCGGCCAAGACUGGCCUGGGGAUCCUGGGGGGAGGGGGGAAGUAGCCAGUGCCUGAUACCUGGUGCUUCUACCUGCCCCUCCCAGGCUCCUCUGGGUCCCAGGGCACCACGCCUCUCCCACACGCCCAAGUGAGAGGCUCUAGAGUGUCUGGACUGCCCCCAAGGCAGAAAUCACCCAGACGAAAGGAGAACUUCAGGAAGCAAGCGGUGCCAGCCAGGUUUCAAUCCCGUUCUUAGUUGUUGCAACCUGUGGAGGAGUUCACAACUCAGGGGCCAGGGCUGGGAGGGGCCAGGAGCCCCCUGGGCCAGGGCCAGCGCAGGGCACUAGCUCGCCUCCACCACGGCCCCAUCAGUCUUUCCCCUGGCCCCCGGCUGUGGGACCACAUUCGAAUCCAAGGUGGCCCUGGCCUGCCUGGUCACCAACUACUUCCCAGAGCCAGUGACGGUGUCCUGGAACUCUGGAGCCCUGUCUGGGACACACACCUUCCCGGCCGUCCUGCAGUCAUCCGGCCUGUACUCCCUCAGUAGCAUGGUGACCGUGCCCGCCAGCGGCUGGAACAGCCAAACCUACAUCUGCAACGUCGCCCACUCGGCCAGCAACACCUAGGUGGACAAGAAGAUUGGUGACCCAUGACAUGGUUGCAGUGGGAGACCCACAGCCUGCAUCCCCAGCAGACAGGUUCAGGGUCAGCCUGAGGCCCCUGACACACCAAGAGAUGCCUGCCUGCUCUCACAGUAGGACUCUGCCUACCCCAUCCUGGGAUCCUACAAAUUCAAGCAGGGAGUCUUCUGGGGUCACGCACCAGGCCUAGGGCACAUACAGUCUGGAUGCCCAUAAUCCAGUCGCUGGGCUCAGAAUUGGAUGUGCCACCCAAAGUGGGAGGAAAAUGCAAGUGCACAGAAGCUGAGCUCCUGGGAGGACCCUCCGUUUUCAUCUUCCCCCCAAAGCCCAAGGACACCCUCACGACCUCCCGAACCCCCGAGGUGACGUGCCUAGUGGUAGAUGUUGGCCAGGAAGACCUGAACGUCCAGUUCACCUGGUACGUGGAUGGUGAACAGUUGAACACAGCCAAGACGAACGAGCCGGAGGGGCAGUACAACAGCACGUACCGCAUGGUCAGUGCACUCCCCAUCUCGCACCAAGACUGGCUCGAGGGCAAAGAGUUCAAGUGCAAAGUCAACAAUACUGCCCUCCCAUCACCUGUUGAGAAGGUCAUCUCCAAGGCCAAAGGCCAGCUCCAUGAGCCACAGGUGUAUGCCCUGCCCCCACACCGAGAUGAGCUGACCAAGGACAAGGUCAGCCUCACAUGCCUGGUGAAGGGAUUCUACCCAUCUGAUAUUGAUGUUACAUGGCAGAGGAACCUGGAGCCAGAGCCUGAGAACAGCUUUGCAAACACUGAAGCCCAGCUCGAGGCUGAUGGGACCUUCUCCCUGUACAGCAAGCUCACACUGCCCAGGGAUAGCUGGCAGCAAGGAAACACCUACUACUGCGUGGUUCUGCACGAGGCACUGAACGAACACCGCAUCCAGAAGGCCGUCUCCAUGUCUGCCGAGCUGCACCCAGAUGAGAGCUGUGCAGAGGCUCAGGAUGGGGAGCUGGACGGGCUGUGGACCACCAUCUCCAUCUUCAUCACUCUCUUCCUGUUCAGCGUGUGCUACAGUGCCACCGUCACCCUCGUCAAGGUCAAGUGGAUCUUCUCCGCAGUGGUGGAGAUGAAGCGGAACAUCGUCCCCGACUACAGGAAUAUGAUCGGGCAGGCUACCUAGGGGCUGCUGAGAGAGCAAAACACAUAAGCCAAACCGAACAACAGGCUUCAGGUGUCUCCACCUCCACCCAAGCCCCAACCUGCCCUCUGACCCCACCGUUCCAGACACCUCACUGCCCUCUGACCAUGCUAUCUCAUAUCUCUCCUGUCAGAGAACCUGGUGGACAGCAGGUUCUCCCACAGACCCAGCAGCCUGGAUGCCCUGCUACCCCAUACCUAAAUAACAUUUACAGCAGCACCAGGAGCGCCGGUGGGGUCAUUGCACUGGGAGACCCUCAGAAUCAGCUGUGCAUGUCCGUUCUGGAGGAGGGGAUGGGCCAGUAUUCCCCAUGUCCAUUUAGAGCAGGGACCUGAGUACAAGCCCCACCCCAGGCCUGGCUCAGAAAGACACCAAAUCUCAAAGAUCCUUGGUGGGGGCAUCAUGCGCCAAGGCAGGGGAGCCACUGACCAUCACCCCCAGAAGGGGCGCUCCCUGGGAAAUGCUGCAACCUUCACUGAAUGGCCCUUCCUCCAACCCUCACUUGGCCAGUUCCUCCCUGGGAGACCACAGGGAUUCCCCCACCACUUCUACGGCCCUGGCCUGAGGAAUAGGCUCCUUUUCAUUUUGAACUGGAAAAUUGGUCUCUGGCUCUUGGGAAGGGGCUUUCCAUCCAAUCCUGGCCUCCUACACAAUGCUCUUAGAUAUGGGGUUCAACCCAAGGGACAGAAGCUCACAGCCUCUACCUGCAUGGGGGCCAAGCAAGGGGAUUGGCCCAGGAUACCCACCAUCUCCCAGCCACCAACUCAGUUCUAGCUAAAGGCCCAGCCUCGCCACCACACAAGAGACCACCUGAGAAGGCCUGGGCCAUACCCACGGACACUGCAGUGUCUGGAAGGUGCAAGGGCAGGGCUCCUGGGGUGAGGGUGGGCAACUGUGCCAAUCAGGAAGGGCAUCAGAUCUUGGGGGUCAGUGGCCAGACAGCCUUCUAGAAAGAGGACUGGUGACCAGUGCCCCAAUUGGUCAGGGCAUGCCAUGGGAGGCCACCUCCUUGGGCCCCUGGACAGAGGUGGCCGAAGGCAAACAGAAUAGAGAGGAAAAUGACCAGAUGCUGGGAGCCAGGCCAGCCUAGCCACAGGCACUGCAUGGAGGUCCCAGGGCCAAGCAUUGCCUCCCCUCUGGGAUUCCUCUCUCCCAUCUUCCCUUUCAGCAAAUACUCAGCAGAGUCACACCACAAAGGAGCCAGAGUGCUGAGCCCGCAUCUUAAGGUGGGAAGAAGAAAUGGAAGCAAACCACACCAAAGAAAUGCCACAUCCAUUAGCUUUGUAGCUUCUUACCUCUUUUUAAUUUUCUGAAUUUCCUUGAUUUUCUUUCAUGUAAAUGUGUUGUUCUUGUUUUUUAAUUACAAUAUAAUGGACUUAAACUGUAUGAUUUAUCAUGGUGGUAGUCUUUCUAUGGUGACACCUUUUGAGCCCUUCAAGUGCCAGCCCCAGCAAUGAGAUGAGCCAAGCCAUGAGUCCCAGAGCACCCUGUAUG